rnacentral:rRNA from 1 species
UACGAAGGGUGCAAGCGUUACUCGGAAUUACUGGGCGUAAAGCGUGCGUAGGUGGUGAGUUAAGUCUGUCGUGAAAGCCCCGGGCUCAACCUGGGAAUUGCAUUUGAGACUGCGUAGCUAGGGUGCGGAAGAGGGAAGCGGAAUUUCCGGUGUAGCGGUGAAAUGCGUAGAUAUCGGAAGGAACACCAGUGGCGAAAGCGGCUUCCUGGUCCAGCACCGACGUUCAGGCACGAAAGCGUGGGGAGCAAACAGG